GCGUGCGGCAGAAACGAUUUAGUUUUAGAAAACGCUGAUCGCCGAAGUUAAGCCUGAUCGGGCGAAGUUAGUACUUGGAUGGGUGACCGCAUGGGAUACUUCGUGUUGUAGGCU